UAGGGAAUAUUGCGCAAUGGGCGAAAGCCUGAUGCAGCCAUGCCGCGUGGAUGAUGAAGGCCUUCGGGUCGUAAAGUCCUUUUCUGAGGGAAGAACUGCCGGGGGAGGAAAUGCCCUUGGCUUGACGGUACCUCAGGAAUAAGCAACGGCUAACUCCGUGCCAGCAGCCGCGGUAAUACGGAGGUUGCAAGCGUUGUUCGGAAUGACUGGGCGUAAAGGGAGCGCAGGCGGCCAAGUCAGUCUGAAGUGAAAGCCCGGGGCUUAACCCCGGAAUAGCUUUGGAUACUGCCUGGCUUGAGUGUGCGAUGGGAAAGCGGAUUUCCAGGCGUAGCGGUGAAAUGCGUAGAUAUCUGGAGGAACACCGGUGGCGAAAGCGGCUUUCUGGCGCAUAACUGACGCUGAGGCUCGAAAGCGUGGGGAGC
rnacentral:rRNA from 1 species